AUGUGUUAUCAUGCUAGGUUAUAAUGUGUUAUAAUGUGUUAUCCUGCUAGGUUGUAAUGUGUUAUAAUGUGUUAUCCUGCUAGGUUGUAAUGUGUUAUCCUGCUAGGUUGUAAUGUGUUAUAAUGUGUUAUCCUGCUAGGUUAUAAUGUG